GGGUCAGUAGGUUGGACGUGCCACCGGUACGUACUGGUCUCACUGAUUCCUCCUUCCUGAAGAACCGUAAUGCCAUUAAUUUGGUGUUGCGGGGAAUCAGGACUGUUACUUUGAAAAAAUUAGAGUGUUUAAAGCAAGCUAACGCUUGAAUACAUUAGCAUGGAAUAAUGAAAUAGGACGAUCGAUCCUAUUUUGUUGGUUUCUAGGAUUGACGUA
rnacentral:rRNA from 1 species